CUAGUGAUUGCUAUCCAUCGGAUUGUCUUUUGAUAUACUGAAAUACCCUGGAUCAAAUGCAUAUCUUCUUAAAAGAACAUGCUCCUGGGAGAUCUUCGGUUUGUGCUUCUUGACUUGAUUUGCGGUACUUUUUAUCUCUCUUUUUUUCCUUCCAAAUAUUGUAAUUAAAGUGCUUUAUGCUUUAUCUUUUAAUGGGCUAUAAUUAUUUCCCAAAUGCCCCUUUUGACGGAUUCUCAUUGUUGUUACUAGUUGCAAAGACCAG
rnacentral:lncRNA from 1 species